CGUCCUCCUGAGUAUAAGAGAAGGGGACUUGGCAGAUGCCCUGUGUGGCGAGUACGCUGACCGUGACGACGGAGUAUGCAGGCACAACGACCUCGUAGGCGUUGGAGUACUCUUCUUUCUCGAUGAUGGACUCGCCCCAGCUGUAGGUGGAGUUGAACUCGCUCUGGACCUCAAUGGUUGCGGGUAAGACCACAGGAACCCCAGCUUCAAUUGUGGUGGUGACCCCCAGUUUCAUGGACUUGCUCGAAUCCCAUAGCUUUCCCUUGAUGACGCUAUACUUGAGGGUGAUGGUGGUCUUGCUGUCCGUGCUGGUGCCGUUCACCGCCUCUCGAGUGAUGAGGGUCUUGGCCUUCUUGUCGAAGAUCUUGGCGCCCUUGAGGUGGUACUCGAUGUUGGAGAUCUUCCGGGAGAGGACGGCUUCUUCGAUCUUGAUGUGCGCCUCCUUCCUGAUGGUCGGAAUUGUGGCAUUCAGGCAGCUCUCCUUGCCGUCGUAGGUCAGCCUGUGGCAGAAGUGGUUGUUGCCGAGGUUCCGGAGCGCGUACACACCGUCCUCGUCGAUCUUGAUGACCUCGAACAGGGUGUCGGAGUUCUUGGUGCUGGUGUCGUCGGUGUCGGCCCAGAUCCAGUUGGGGCUCCGCCUCCAGAACUUGCCGAGAUGGUUCGACUUGAAGCGCACCACCCGUUUGCCGUUCACCUUGUGGUUGUAGGUGAUGAACCUCACACUUGGGUCACCAAUGUCUUCCGAUGCAAACUGCAGGUAGGGAUGGCCUUCAACCGUUCGAGCACUCAGGUACAGACCGUUAUCUCCCUUGAAACACACGUACUUGGGCAAAUCCAGUUGGUCCUCAUCCUUGACUCCUUGGUCGAUU
rnacentral:lncRNA from 1 species